rnacentral:rRNA from 1 species
GACGAACGCUGGCGGCGUGCUUAACACAUGCAAGUCGAACGAUGAACCCGGAGCUUGCUCCGGUGGAUCAGUGGCGAACGGGUGAGUAACACGUGAGUAACCUGCCCUUGACUCUGGGAUAACUGCGGGAAACUGUAGCUAAUACCGGAUACGACCCUCGGCGGCAUCGCCAGGGGGUGGAAAGAAUUACGGCCAAGGAUGGACUCGCGGCCUAUCAGCUAGUUGGUGAGGUAACGGCUCACCAAGGCGACGACGGGUAGCCGGCCUGAGAGGGUGACCGGCCACAAUGGGACUGGUACACGGCCCAGACUCCUACGGGAGGCAGCAGUGGGGAAGAUUGCACAAUGGGCGCAAGCCUGAUGCAGCAGCGCCGCGUGGGGGAUGACGGCCUUCGGGUUGUAAACCUCUUUUGGUAGGGAAGAAGCGAAAGUGACGGUACCUGCAGAAAAAGCACCGGCUAACUACGUGCCAGCCGCCGCCGUAA